UACGUAGGCAGCGAGCGUUGUUCGGAGUUACUGGGCGUAAAGCGUGCGUAGGCGGUGUUCCAAGUCUGUUGUGAAAUCUCCCGGCUUAACCGGGAGGGUGCGGCGGAAACUGGGACGCUGGAGUGCGGGAGAGGUGAGCGGAAUUCCUGGUGUAGCGGUGAAAUGCGUAGAUAUCAGGAGGAACACCCGCGGUGUAGACGGCUCACUGGACCGUAACUGACGCUGAGGCACGAAAGCGUGGGUAGCAAACAGG
rnacentral:rRNA from 1 species